GAUGAACGCUAGCGGCAGGCUUAAUACAUGCAAGCCGAGGGGCAGCAUGAAUGUAGCAAUACAUUUGAUGGCGACCGGCAAACGGGUGCGGAACACGUACACAACCUUCCUAUAAGUGGGGAAUAGCCCAGAGAAAUUUGGAUUAAUACCCCGUAACAUAAUGAUGUGGCAUCACAUUAUUAUUAUAGCUACGGCGCUUAUUGAUGGGUGUGCGGCUGAUUAGAUAGUUGGCGGGGUAACGGCCCACCAAGUCUACGAUCAGUAGCUGAUGUGAGAGCAGGAUCAGCCACACGGGCACUGAGACACGGGACCGGCUCCUACGGGAGGCAGCAGUAAGGAAUAUUGGUAAAUGGACGCAAGUCUGAACCAGCCAUGCCGCGUGAAGGAUUAAGGUCCUCUGGAUUGUGAACUUCUUUUAUCUGGGACGAAAAAAGGCUAUUCUUAGUCACUUGACGGUACCAGAUGAAUAAGCACCGGCUAACUCCGUGCCAGCCGCCGCGGUAAAAC
rnacentral:rRNA from 1 species